GCGGGGGUCGCCAAGCCUGGUCAACGGCGCAGGGUUCAGGCCCCUGUCCCGAAAAGGGCUUCGUCCACGCCUCUGCUGGACAGAAGGGGUUCGUGGGUUCAAAUCCCACCCCCCGCA
rnacentral:tRNA from 1 species